rnacentral:rRNA from 1 species
UAACAACAGAUGAUGCCUAUCAACUGUUUUAAAAGAUGGUUCUGCUAUCACUCUUGGAUGGACCUGCGGUGCAUUAGCUAGUUGGUAGGGGUAACGGGCCUACCAAGGCGAUGAUACAUAGCCCGAGUUGAGAGACUGAUCGGCCACAUUGGGGACUGAGACACGGGCCCAAACUCCUACGGGAGGCAGCAGUAGGGAAUCUUCCACAAUGGACGCAAGUCUGAUGGAGCAAACGCCGCGUGAGUGAAGAAGGGUUUUCGGCUCGUAAAAAGCUCUGUUGUUGGUGAAGAAGGACAGGGGUAGUAACUGACCCUUUGUUUGACGGUAAUCAAUUAGAAAGUCACGGGCUAACUACGUGCCAGCAGCCGCGGUAAAU